GGAAUAUUGGUCAAUGGACGAAAGUCUGAACCAGCCAAGUAGCGUGCAGGAUGACGGCCCUAUGGGUUGUAAACUGCUUUUAUAUAGGGAUAAAGUCGGGGACGUGUCCCCGUUUGUAGGUACUAUAUGAAUAAGGACCGGCUAAUUCCGUGCCAGCAGCCGCGGUAAUACGGAAGGUCCAGGCGUUAUCCGGAUUUAUUGGGUUUAAAGGGAGCGCAGGCUGAUGAUUAAGCGUGACGUGAAAUGUAGCCGCUCAACGGCUGAACUGCGUCGCGAACUGGUUAUCUUGAGUGAGUUCGAUGUUGGCGGAAUUCGUGGUGUAGCGGUGAAAUGCUUAGAUAUCACGAAGAACUCCGAUUGCGAAGGCAGCCAACAAGGCCUUUACUGACGCUAAAGCUCGAAGGUGCGGGUAUCGAACA
rnacentral:rRNA from 1 species